CGGGAUUGCUUGCGGCCGACGACGGGUAGCCGGCCUGAGAGGGCGACCGGCCACACUGGGACUGAGACACGGCCCAGACUCCUACGGGAGGCAGCAGUGGGGAAUAUUGCACAAUGGGCGAAAGCCUGAUGCAGCGACGCCGCGUGAGGGAUGACGGCCUUCGGGUUGUAAACCUCUUUCAGCAGGGAAGAAGCGAAAGUGACGGUACCUGCAGAAGAAGCGCCGGCUAACUACGUGCCAGCAGCCGCGGUAAUACGUAGGGCGCAAGCGUUGUCCGGAAUUAUUGGGCGUAAAGAGCUCGUAGGCGGCUUGUCACGUCGGAUGUGAAAGCCCGGGGCUUAACCCCGGGUCUGCAUUCGAUACGGGCUAGCUAGAGUGUGGUAGGGGAGAUCGGAAUUCCUGGUGUAGCGGUGAAAUGCGCAGAUAUCAGGAGGAACACCGGUGGCGAAGGCGGAUCUCUGGGCCAUUACUGACGCUGAGGAGCGAAAGCGUGGGGAGCGAACAGGAUUAGAUACCCUGGUAGUCCACGCCGUAAACGUUGGGAACUAGGUGUUGGCGACAUUCCACGUCGUCGGUGCCGCAGCUAACGCAUUAAGUUCCCCGCCGGGGGGAGUUCCGGA
rnacentral:rRNA from 1 species